UGAAAACCCCUUGUUCAUGAAGAAUGCAUACUAAUUGUUUUUGGCAGAAUAAAUGAUUUCUUUUUUUUCUGCUUCAGUAGAACUGGUUGACUUUUAACAACUCAAUUAUCUUCUCUAAGUGAAGAGGGUGGGCCCUUGAGGUCAAGAAGAAGUUACAUGUAGAAAGAAAGGACAAACAGAAAUGGACAGAAAUUGAAGUGCCCUGAGGUUACAUGGAUGAGUUUCAUUAGGUACACUUUUCAAAGAUGCCCUGGAAGGAAAAAAGGAAGAGCAUUUUGGUUUGGGUUUUGUCAGCAUCAUGGGAAAGGUCAGGUGAGAGAUAAAAAUUAACAGCAGUAAGAUCAUGAGGUUGAAAGUAAUGCAUACCAAUUUCUCUCCAGGAGAAUGACUGGACAGAGUUACUCUAUAAAUGCUAGAAAUCACAGAGCUGCAGUUAGGGAAUCUGAAAAAUAUUAUUGAGAACCAGCAGCAUGAAAACUGAGGAUAAGAUAAACAGCAGCAAUGGAUCAUCCAGUCAUAAUGUGAUCAGGUAGCAGGAAGCACAUUUAUCCUUUGUGCAGCACAAGAGGAGGAGGAGGACUGAAGCAUUUGUCUUGGCAGGAGGCCCAUGAGAAAGUGAAGGGCCAAUGAAAGGUCUGAGGCAAGAUGGAAGACUGAAGAGAGAGAGCUGUCCUGUGAAGAUGCUCUGUUUUUGAAUUACUUAGACCAAGAAAUGGAGGCAAAGUGUUUUGCUUACCUGGUCCAAACACAGAAGAAGGAAUAUUUAAAAGGACAUGAGGAGGGCAGACUCUCACAGGCAAAUCUUACCUUUUGCUCUGGAGCAAUAAAAACUGCCGUAGAAAGAGGACUUUGGAAGUAAGGUCAUACUGCACCGAGGCUUCACCAGUGACACAGGAGGUACUGAGUGUUAUCUAGAAUGUGUUUCCUGCAUCCAAAAGUCACACUGUGCUCAAGUGGCCUGAGAAAAGAGAAGGAAGACAUGUGGCUGCUUGGAGUCACAGCAACACUGGGUGGUCCCCAGGAGCACAGGCUGGAACUUAAUCUCCACAUCUCCAGCUCCAGCUCCAUGAGGAGAGUUGUGCCAACAGUAUAAACUUAAAAUUUAACCAGAUGUGUCUUUGAACAAAAUCACAAUAUUCUGGGUCCAAUCAGUGUAGUUGUUAAUUCCUAAUGCUAUAUAUAAUAUGGAUAGUCAUACAAGAAAAACACUAUCCAGCAGACACAUUUUUUGGGCCAGAGCAGAGUUGUGAAGUGACCUGUAGCCUCAAACUGACCAUGGGUGUGCAAAAUAUCCAGCUCUAGUGGCUGUUCCACCAGCAACUUCUUGUUGAGAGUCACUUGACCAACCCGUGCAGCAGAAGUGCUCAGUGAGGGAUGGGAGGUACAGAAGCUGUUCUGUGAGGUGAAGUACUUCCUUGAUACUGGGCUUCCGGGGAGUUAAAUAAACCCUAAAUCCCAUAACUGACAGAGUGAAGCAACCUUUGAUGGAAGGGCUUUUCUCUGCUUGACUUUGCUUGUUUGCUCAGCAGAUUUACAGCAAAGGCUUGCAAUGUCCCAAGAGUGACUGAGGGGCGUGGAGGACACACAUGGAGGUUCCCCAGAAGUGCACACUAGGUUUAUUUGGCAGAGGAGGAAGAAAACCAAGAACAUACCUGUGGCUAUUGCAGCUUGUCCUGCUCUACAGAGAUGGGUUGAACUUUCAGCAAGGUGUAUACUCGGUCUGAGUUCAGACUAAGCCUGGACUAAGCUCCCUUUACUCAGUGAAGAGAGACUGACUACUGCCAGUCAGAGGACUGACCAUGUACCUACCUCCCUUUGGGCAGUUGUUUGUAAGAGAAGUAAUUUCUGGCAUCAACACCUAUCUUAAGGUAUUUCUACUCCCACACUACCCCUUCAGCUGUACCAGCAUGACUGCUUGUGCAAUGAUGCUGCAAAAUGGAUCAGACAGCAGACUAGUGAAGUAAGUUUCUUUUAUCUGUGCAGCCUGUCUGACUCUAAAAAGCUCAUUGAUGUGCACAGCUGUGAGAACGGCACCAAGCACAAGCAGGAAUCCUGUAAGGCUGCAUUACUGCUGAAGGUUUCGCUUCAUGUCAUCCCAACUUCAGGUGGUUUGUACCAUUGGUUUGUACACAAAGCCUGUCUCGGCAGACUCUCAUGUACCAUCCCCAGAUUUUAUGAUUAUUUCAUGUGAUUAUACUGGUCAUCUGUAAACUUCUGAGUUUAAGAGGGAGAUUGUCAAAAGCUUGAAGGGCAUAUGGAGCUCUGUUUUCUUCAGAUGUCAGAAAACUGAGGCCUCUGUACAUUUCAAAAGCAGCAUUUGUUACUUAAAACACUACUUUAAGAAGAGAUAGCAGGGAGAUGGUCUCUCAAGAACCAUGAUUCACAUUACCAUUGUUCAUUUUGACUUCUGCCAACAUGGAAAUGAUUGCCUUGUACCCAUUGUUUUGCAGGGUCUUUGCUAAGGAGUCUUGGUUUCUUGGACUGGUGAAAUAAGGGAUUACAAUAAUAUAAUGGCAUCUUAUGCUUAUCUGGAAAUGAGAAUACAUAAAAGAGGAGUUUUCCUCUAUCGCUGUCCUACCUGAAUCUUUCUUCUGUGUUUAACACUGAACAUCAGCCCUUCUUUCAGAAUAUACCCAAAACAAACAGCUGAAGCACAACAAAGGCAGUGAACUGAACCCACAGACAAUAGUUAUUAUUGCCCUUCCAAGAAGAAUUGAGAGAAAAGUCACAGCUUCUCCAGCAGCUAUCCCUUGGAUGGCAUACUUCAGCACAGCACCUCUCAUCUAUCUCAUCAGGGUGAUGUAGAGAUUUCAUGGUAAAUUCUUAGACUUUAGUAAUCAGAUAAGCCUGUCCAGGCACAUAGUGCUGUGCUUACAACCACCUUCUGCAAGAAAAAAAAUUGUUUCUUCCUGUGAAGGCCGAUAAGCUGUGGAUUCCUAUUCUAUUUGCUCGAGAUUCAUCUCCUGUCAAAACUUGUGUUGAUUCUCAGUUAAUUUUAAGUUCAAGCACUUUGUUACAAAAGCUAAUCCUGCAAUAAUAGUUGGAAGUCCUAUGCACAUCUUUUUUUUUUUUU